CUUUCCCUCUUUCUUCCUGCUUUACACAUGCAAGUCGGACGGCAGCACAGAGAAGCUUGCUUCUUGGGUGGCGAGUGGCGAACGGGUGAGUAAUAUAUCGGAACGUACCGAGUAAUGGGGGAUAACUAAUCGAAAGAUUAGCUAAUACCGCAUAUUCUCUGAGGAGGAAAGCAGGGGACCUUCGGGCCUUGCGUUAUUCGAGCGGCCGAUAUCUGAUUAGCUAGUUGGUGGGGUAAAGGCCUACCAAGGCGACGAUCAGUAGCGGGUCUGAGAGGAUGAUCCGCCACACUGGGACUGAGACACGGCCCAGACUCCUACGGGAGGCAGCAGUGGGGAAUUUUGGACAAUGGGCGCAAGCCUGAUCCAGCCAUGCCGCGUGUCUGAAGAAGGCCUUCGGGUUGUAAAGGACUUUUGUCAGGGAAGAAAAGGCUGUUGCUAAUACCGACAGCUGAUGACGGUACCUGAAGAAUAAGCACCGGCUAACUACGUG
rnacentral:rRNA from 1 species